rnacentral:rRNA from 1 species
CCCUUAGACGUUCUGGGCCGCACGCGCGCUACACUGACGGAGCCAGCGAGUAUAAACCUUGGCCGAGAGGUCUGGGAAAUCUUGUGAAACUCCGUCGUGCUGGGGAUAGAGCAUUGUAAUUAUUGCUCUUCAACGAGGAAUUCCUAGUAAGCGCAAGUCAUCAGCUUGCGUUGAUUACGUCCCUGCCCUUUGUACACACCGCCCAUCGCUACUACCGAUUGAAUGGCUUAGUGAGGCUUCCGGAUUGGUUUAGAGAAGGGGGCAACUCCAUCUUGGAACCGAGAAGCUAGUCAAACUUGGUCAUUUAGAGGAAGUAAAAGUCGUAACA